CAAGAGUUGGUGUGGGCUAGAUGAGAAGGAAGAUGGGCCAACUAGUGUGGAUCGAUAGCUUGUGAAACGGCUUACACCUUUAGGUUUCCUUUUGGUUCUCCCAUUGGCUUGGGUUGCACCACCUUAGUUUAUGGGCUAUAACUAUUGCAUUUAUUUAUUGCUUUAUUUAUUCAUGUAUGAGAUGCUAUGGAUGUCUAAAGCAUGCCAAAUUUUAAAUAUGUUAAAAUUUGAUAAUAAUGAACCACAUUAAUUGAUGAGAUCAAUUAAAUAGCUAAAUGGACUAAGGUAAACCAUAAUUGGUGAGAUGGAAAAACCUUAACAAAAUCCCUCUAUUAAAAUAUUAAGUCAAUAUAGCCUUCCAAUUUUGCCCUCGUUAAGACAUCGAUCAAUACUGUGUAGGUUCUGCUAAAACAAAGUACUAGUAUUUAUCUUGGUUAAACGCAAAGAAUAAACAAGUGAUAUUCACUGGUUAAAAUUGGCUAAUGACUUAACUAGGUUAUUCUAAUAGGAUUACAAACCUAGAGGCAAGUAAUUUGGAUAAAUCAUAAGAUGAUUAGAACAAGAGUUGUUUACCAAACUUUAGGAGUUACAUAUGAUGUAAUUAGCAAGUGUUGCUUACCUAGAUAACCAUAAUCUUGACAGUAAAGCCAAAACUGACUUAAGAGGAGGUGAAAUAUGGAUCCUUAACCCACUUGAAAUACUUUUCGAGAAAGUCUUUCCGAAACUAAUAUAUGAGGGUUAUUAAUUUUGUAAUAAAAUAGUGGGAACAUCUUUUAAUAAACUCCUUUUAAUGAUUGAUAUAAAUUUGAUAAAUUUACACACGCAUAUUUUAUUGUUGUAGAUACAUUAUGGCUGCAAACACUAAUACAUUCUCAUUGCAAUCGAUCCUUGAGAAGGACAAAUUGAAUGGUUUGAAUUUUCUUGACUGGUUCCGUAACUUGAGGAUUGUCCUCAAACAAGAACGAAAAUUAUAUGUCAUUGAACAACCGGUUCCUAACGAACCACCUGCUAAUGUCUCGAGGGCUGAUAGAGAUGCUUACAAGAAGCAUCUCGAUGACAUGGUUGCUUAUGAAAUGAUUGAGCACCUGAAAGAACUUUAUCAGGGGCAAGCACGGCAAGAGAGGUUUGAUAUCUCUAAGGCCCUAUUCCAGUGUAAGCUGGCUGAAAGAGGCCCAGUAGGACCUUAUGUCCUUAAGAUGAUUGGCUAUAUUGAAAGUCUAUCUAAGCUUGGGUUUCCAAUGAGCCAAUAGUUGGCCACUGAUGUUAUUCUACAAUCUGUUGUCGGAUAGCUACAGUCAGUUUGUCCUCAAUUUCAAUAUGGAUGAAAUUGAUAAGACUCAGCCACAGUUGCUCAGUAUGUUACGAACUGCUGAAGGCAACAUGAAAAAGGUUGGACCCAAGCCUAUACUGAUGGUCCGUAAUAACAAGGGCAAGGGAAAGGUAGGCCAAAGCCUGGAAAAGUAAAGGCUGCAUUGAAACCUAAAGGUGGGGUGGCUAAGGAAGGAAACUGUUUUCAUUGUGGUGUGACUGGACUUUGGAAGCGGAACUGCCCUAUCUAUCUUGAGGAAGUCAAGAAGGCCAAAAUAAGCAGAACGUCUGCUUCAGGUAUUUAUGUUAUUGAUAUUAAUUUAUUAACUACUACCCAUGGGUAUUAGAUACUGGUUAUGGUUCUUACAUUUGUACUUCUGUACAGGGACUACAAAGGAGUAGGACUUUGGCUAGAAGAGAUGUGGACCUACAAGUUGGAAAUGGAGCAAAAGUUGUUACAUUAUCUGUGGAAACAUAUAAUUUAUCUUUGCCUAGUGGACUUGGUUUAUGUUUAGAGGAUUGUUAUUAUGUGCCCAGUUUGACUAAAAACAUUAUUUCAAAUUCUUGUUUAGACAAAAUUGGUUUUGAGGUAAUUAUUAAGAAUAAUUGUUGUUCCUUUUAUCUCAAUAAUGUUUUCUAUGGUUCGGCACAAUUGAUUAACGGCCUCUAUAUUUUAGAUCAAAUGAAUCUCAUUUACAACAAUAAUACUAAAAGAUCAAAAAUAAAUUACUCAAAUUAAACUUAUCUAUGGCAUUGUCGUUCCAGCCACAUAAGUGAGGAACGCAUAUCCAAGCUCCAUAAAGAUGGUAUAUUGGAUUCAUUUGUUUUUGAACAAUUUGAAGUAUGUGAAUCUUGCUUAUUGGGAAAAAUGACUAAAUCUCUUUUUACUGGUAAAAGUGAACGAGCUAGUGAUUUAUUGGGCCUAAUACAUUCUGAUGUAUGUGGGCCAAUAAAUACACAGGCUAGAGGAGGAUUUCACUACUUCAUUACUUUCACUGAUGAUUUCAGUAGAUAUGGGUAUGUCUAUCUCAUGUGCCAUAAGUCUGAGUCCCUUGAAAAGUUCAAGGAAUUCAAAAAUGAAGUACAAAAUCAACUAGGCAAAACUAUCAAGACACUUCAAUCUGAUCGAGGUGGGGAGUAUUUAAGCUUAGAGUUUGAUGAUCUUUUGAAGCAAUAUGGGAUUGUCUCACAAUUGACUCCUCCUGGUACUCCUCAAUGGAAUAGAGUUUCUGCAAGAAAAAAUCAAACUUUAUUAGACAUGGUUCGAUCCAUGAUGGGUCAUGCUGAUUUGCCGACUUCUUUUUAGGGACAUGCACUUGAGACAGCUAUUUUCACACUAAAUUGUGUUUCAUCUAAAUCGGUUCAAAAGAUGCCAUAUGAGAUGUGGACUGGGAAAUGUCCCAGUAUGUCUUUUAUGAAAAUUUGGGGUUGCGAAGCUUAUGUUAAACAUCAGACGUCUACUAAGCUUGAACCCAAAUCUGAAAAGUGUGUUUUUAUGGGGUAUUCGAAAGAAACCAAAGGAUAUUAUUUCUUUAAUCCCACUGACAACAAAAUACUUGUUGCUCAGACUGGUGUCUUCCUAGAGAGAGAAUUUGUUUCUAGAAAAAGAAGUGGGAAAAAGAUUGAACUUGAAAAAAUUCGAGAAUCACAAAAUACCACUGAACCAGAGAUAGAGCAAUAGCAAGUUUCACAAGGAAUUGGGGAACAAGUAACUGUUGUAGAAACACAACCACCGUGUAGAUCUUUGAGAGAAUGCCAAGCACCUGAGAGAUAUGGAUUUCUCAUUACAAUGCAUGGUGACGUUCUACUUAUUGAUCAAGAUGAGCCUAGGACUUAUCAAGAAGCGGUGACGAGCCCAGACUCUGAGAAAUGGCUUGAGGCCAUGAGAUCUGAGAUGGAUUCCAUAUUUGAAAACCAAGUAUGGACUUUGGUUGACCCACCCGAAAGGGUUAAACCCAUAGGGUGCAAGUGGGUUUUCAAAAAGAAAACAGACAUGGAUGGUAAUGUACAAACAUACAAGGGGCGAUUAGUCGCUAAAUGUUUUCGCCAAGUUCAUGUUGUUGACUAUGAUGAAACCUUUUCUCCUGUAGCUAUGUUUAAAUCCAUCAGGAUCUUGCUCGCUAUAGCUGCAUUUCAUGACUAUGAAAUCUGGUAGAUGGACGUCAAAACAACUUUCCUUAAUGGGAAACUUGAAGAGGAUGUGUACAUGACACAACCUGAAGGUUUUGUCAAUCCAAAGGAUUCUAGAAAGGUAUGUAAGCUACAAAGAUCCAUUUAUGGAUUAAAUCAAGCUUCUCGAAGUUAGAAUCUUAGUUUUAACGAUGCAAUCAAAGAGUUUGAUUCUAUCAAAAAUGAAGAUGAGUCAUGUGUUUACAAGAAAGUUAGUAGGAGCACUAUAACAUUCUUGGUACUGUAUGUGGAUGACAUACUUAUCAUAGGAAAUGACAAACCUACCUUGCAGUCUAUUAAGACUUGGUUAGGAAGUUGUUUAUCUAUGAAGGACUUGGGCGAAGCCACUUACAUCUUAGGAGUGAAGAUCUAUAGAUAUAGAUCAAGACGACUACUAGGUCUAAGCCAAAGUACAUACAUAGAUAAAGUACUAAAAAGGUUUAGUAUGGAAGAAUCUAAGAGAGGAUUCCUACCUAUAAGACAUGGUAUUUCAUUCUCGAAGGAAAUGUGUCAUUCAACUCCACAAGAUAGAGAAUGCAUGAGUAAAAUUCCAUAUGCUUCCACUAUUGGAGCUAUCAUGUAUGCCAUGUUAUGUACCCGUCCAGAUGUCUCAUAUAACUGAAGUAUGACGAGCAGGUACCAAGUAGAUCCCGGUGAAAGCCACUGGACCACAGUCAAGAAUAUCCUUAAGUACUUAAGAAGAACUAAUGAUACGUUUCUAAUAUAUUAAGGUGAGGAAGAGUUAAGUGUAAAAGGUUGACUGAUGCCUGCUUCCAAAUCGAUAAGGACGAUUCUGAUCACAAUCAGGUUUUGUGUUUUGCCUUAAUGGUGGUGCUGUGAGCUGGAAGAGUUCAAAGAAAAUUACAGUAGCUGAUUCUACAACAGAGGUCAAGUAUAUUGCAGCCAGUGAGGCAGCAAAGGAAGCGGUUUGGAUCAAGAAGUUCAUUACUCAACUAGGGUUAUACCUAGCAUAUCAGAUGCUAUAGAACUCCGAUAUCAUAACAAUGGAGCCAUUGUACAAGCUAAAAAGCCUAGAUCUCACCAGCGAUCCAAACAUAUACUUAGGCGCUACCAUCUUAUUCGAGAGAUUAUCGAUCGAGGGGAUGUAGAGAUAUGCACAAUACCUACAGAUGAUAACAUUGCUAAUCCCCUAACCAAGCCUUUGACACAGCAGAAGCAUGAUUAUCACACUAAGUCGCUUGGUAUUAGAUAUAUAUAAGUGAUUGGUCUUAGUGCUAGUGGGAGAUUGUUAGAGUAUGCCCAAAGAUCAAUCAUGAGAUGGUUGUAAUAACAUACUUGAUUUAUCAUGUUUAUUAAUAUAAGGCGUUACCAAUAUUAUUUUAGUUUCUUUUCUGUGUGUAUAAAUAAAAUGUUUUAUAAUAAUAUCCUAAGAGUAAUAUGAUUAUUCUUAAAAGGUCCUUAGUCAAGUAUUACUGUUGGAUAGGACAACAAUAAUGCAUUAAGACUAACAUGUAGUUGAUUGAUGAUAAAGAGUUGUCAUUGAUAUGGAAUGUCAAAAUCGAUGCAUGAAUAUGUGUCUUAGAGAACAACAUAUUGGACUGCCCGUUAUGAGUAUGUUUCUUGGAUUAUUAUGUAAUUGUCAUAACAUUACUCAUAGUGGUUGAUAUGUAUAUGAUCCUCAGACUUGAGAUCAUCAUAAUCCCAACAUCGUGAGUUGUAUAUUUUCAUACAGUCAAACGUACACCGUAACUGGUUAUUCUAUAAAGUCAAACGUACACCAUAAUUGGUUGUUCUAUAAAGGCUAAUGUUGGAUAUACCACGAUCUAUGUAGAAGGAUAUGGUUGAUCGAUAUAAGAUAAGUCCCUCCUACAUAAUGGGAGUAAUAUCUUAGGCCACUUGAUUGAGUGAGACUAGAAAUGCAUGGCCAUGCUCAAAUAAGCUGAUAUGAGAUGUCAUACUUAUUUGCAUAUCAUAGUUUUCUUAAGAUAUCAAGGAACAUGGAAUGGACUAUGCAAGUGUGACUAUUCCAUGACUUGUGUCCAAUCUAGAGAUAAAGGACUUAAGGAUUAUUGCAUGAAAGGUUAUUCAUAAAAAGGUUAUGUCGAAUCAUGAUUUCUUGUGACUUAGGUAGCAAUGAUGCAUUGCUAGGUGCCACUCAAUGUUUGUAUCAUUGAAAUCGUUCUAGUAUUACUGCUAACGUUACAAGAACCUAUAGGGUCACACCCUAUAGUUGAAAUGAAUGGAAUAAAACAUAGUUGGUAUUGUAUUUGGUUGUUGCUUGAAUUAAAUUAAUUAUAGAAUUAAUUUAAUUGGAUAAUCAAAUAUCGAACACAUUAUGUACAAGGUUGUUGUACGCAUAAUGAGAACAUGAAUUUGGUUAGUAUAUAAAUUCAAAUAAAUAUAUAGUUUUCCGAAAUGAUUAUUAUAAUUAAUGUAAUUAUAAUUUUUGGUUUAAAACAUAGUUAUAUUUAUUUAAUUUCUAGAAACCCUAAAAAUAGAUAUAAAAAUAUCGUUUUUUCUUUGCUUGGGGUCUAGCAGCCGUCAAAGCAAAGUUUUCUUUCCAAAACUGUGUUGAGGAUUCAUUCCGUUCAUUGUCAACUGGGUGGAUUAUGUAGAGGCCAAAGUCACAAUAGAUUGCGGCUUGGUUCGAUAGUAGAACAUAUUACUCAUUGCUGAGGCGUUACUGUCUACUUAAAAUAAAGAUUCGGUAAUUUCGAAACCUUUAUUUCAUCCCGAUUCGUUCCUCACACAUGGAUCCAUGGUUAGGAUCGCCGAAUGUUUUAAUUUUUUACUACGCCAUAGGGGUGCCGACGUUCCAACAACACGGGCAUGUGAGGCCAUUUCGAAAGUUUCACGGCCUGGUAGAUUGGUAUGUGAGGGCAUUUUGAAAGUUACACGGCUUGACACACGGGCAUGUGGCUUGGCCAUAUACCAAAGUCAGAGAGUUACACAGACACGGGCUAGGACACGGCCGUGUGUCCCUAUUUCAAAUGUUACACGGGUGUGUGUCUCAGCCGUGUGAGUCACACGGCCUAGCCACACAGUUGUAUGACCCUUAUAGUUUGAAUUUUUCUAACUUUUUCCUCAAUGUUUCGAAUGCUCCCAAUUUAGUCCUAAAUCGUUUCUAAAGUGUUUUUAAGCCCUCGAGGGCUGGAAUAAAGGAUGAUAUGCAUGAAUAUGAAUUGAUUAUGCUAUGUUUAAUCAAAUGUUUUCAAAUGUAUGUUUUUAUGUUACAAUUUUACGAUAACGCACCAUAACCCUGUUAUAGCAACGGAUACGGGUUAGGGGUGUUACAUCAAUACUCGCAACAGGGUCUGUGAUACAACCUCGUUCACAGGCUCUUGCUGACUCUGAUUAAUAGUGGGUGGACAUUCAACAUUCUCUACAACUGGCUCAGGGGUUCACACCGGAGGUGCAGAUAACUCGAUUUGGGUUCCCUGACCCGGCUCUCCACAAGCUCUCAUUCCUCUAGUCCUAACUCCGCGAGUACUCAUUUUAAGUUUUAUGUAUGCUAUCAAUAGAAAUAAGUUUUUUUUAUUAUCACAUGAAUAUUUUUCAAUCAAAAUUUUAUUUUAGUGAUUUAAAUGAGUCUCACUAUUUAUUGGUUUCAUAGUCCAGAGUUUGUCUCAAUCUAAAAGUUCUCUAUUGUUUCAACAAUCUAUAGUCUCCUAUAAUUUCAACAAUCGAAAGUUCUUUGAUUUCUCUACAAAAGCAAAUAACAAGAACAUAAAUAAAAUCUAAAACUUAAUAACAAAGAAAAAAUAAAUACUAAAUCUAAAGGAAAAAUUCUACAAUAUGAAAAAGCAUACAUAACAUGUUAAAUGAGCAAAUUUCUAGACUUUAAGGUGGUCGUUCUCCUUAACCCUAGGUUAGUUGUCAUCCUUGUGCAAACCAAAAUGCCCCUGGCUCUUUAUUAUUUCCUGUAUAGAGAUGAUGUUGUGACGACAUUGUGUCUUGUGUCGCGACAUCGAGGGCAGUAUGCUUAUCUUUAGGGUGUCUUCAGGGGUAUGUUGCGGCAUCCUCAGUCUAUGUCACGACAUUGUAAGCAGUCUUGGAAUUCUUCUAUUCUACUCACUAGGUUGCAACAUCUGAUACUCCGUGUUGAAACCUAGUGACUAGUAUCUAGUUAGUACACCUUCUAAUGGUAUCUUGCACAUUCACAAAGUAUAUUAGCUCACCCUAGGCCUCAUUCAGCCCAUAAGGUCAAUAAAAGGCUCAAAUUACACAUUUUAUUAAACUUCAUUAAACUUAAAAAAAUGUAAUUAAAACGUAACUACAAUACUUAUGUUCAAGCUCCUAAAGUAAGAAAACUAAUUUAAUCUACUAUACUGAAUUACAAUAGAUCAGACUCCCCUACACUUAAGUCAUCACUUGUCCUCAAGCAACACAAACAAAUGCAAUAAAUGAAAAGACAACCCCUAAGCAAGUAUGGUACAAAUGUUAGCUUUGGGGCACAUGAAUAGGCAUUUCAUAUUCACAUAUAAUCUUGGCAUGAGAUAUAAACUAACUUACCACUUUUGAUAUCAAGAACCUACGUUCAGUAUACUUAAAAGCGUGCAAGCAUUAAGGGUUUCAAAUGUAAGAAUCCAUCAAUAAAUUAUACAAGUAAUUUGAUUAUCCUAGAAGAAUACAAAUAUUCAUAAAUCCAAUUAUUCAUUAUGAUUUCGAAUUGUGAAUAAGUCUACCUAGAACACAUAGGGCUUUUCGGCUUGAAACAUUCCUAGGCUUUAGAACAGGUAUGGAUUUCAAGAAUGAUAAGCAUCAAAUAGUUUCAAGCAAGAAAAUAGUUUGGCACAUCAUAUUGUCCCCUAUUCUUCCCCUUAGUGACCCUUUUCUGCUCACCGCUUUAUUUCUCUUUCUCUCGCCUUCCUUUUGUCUCUUUAUAGGAAAUCUUAGUAUCAUAUAGUAACUAUGGCUAGCUCACGAGUUUUUGUGCAAUAAUGAAUGAGUUUUUUUAUGGUUUUUGAGUUUCUCACUCUUCUUUCUUUCUCAUAGUAUCUCACUCACAAUUGCUUUCACUUUUCACAUACCUUUUCUACUUGUUUAAUUUUCUUUUUUAAUUUUUCUUUUUGCACUUCUAAGCUAUCCUAUAAUCACUAUACUCGACUAAUCUUUCCUAUCACUCUAUUUUUACAAAACCAUCUUAAUGUAUCUACUUCACCCUCAAUAUGUAUGGCUAAACAUCUACAGUAAUGUAGUUUAGGACCAAAGAAAAGGGUAAGCACAAAUUAUCAUUUUUAGCUUGGUUUUCGUAUAGAAGUUCAUCAAGAAGUGUCUUUUGGCUCAAAAUAGGUACUAAGCAUAGAUAAAUAAAUGUUAGCUUUUUAGCUCUGGGUGUAUAGAAAACAAUAGAUCAUCCCUAGGUAUCUCAAUAUUCACAACUUUAGUCAACCAAACAAUCACAGAUUCAACAAUUUAUCAUUCAUACCAGCAUGCUCGUUUCCUUGUAUUCUCUAUAUCAUUCAGAACAUUUGAUUGCUUAGUACCUAUUUACAGUGUAAUAUAUAGAUCUUGUUAUUCUAAUAAUCGAAAGUUUAAAAUCAUCUAUUCUCAUGCCAAAUUUAUUGUAAAUACAAUCAACUUAUGUAUAUGCUCCUAACCAAUAAAUUGUAUUUCUACAAUCUCAAGCACACAAAUGGCAAAAAAAAAUCAAUGAAAAGCGUAAAAAUUUCAAACAAAUUUUUUAUGUUACCCCCACACUUUAGAUAACACAUUAUCCUCAAUGUGUAAACCUUCUAAAAAUAGGGAAAAAGGUUACUCGAUUAAUCAUGAUUAUUCCGAUAGCUAUUGGUGGGCGCCUCCUCCUUUGUUUGCAAGCUCAAAAUUGUUGUUUCUUCCAUGUGAGGGUCCUACAAAAAAAAUCUUUUCGCAGUAGAAAAAAAAACUAACAAUUUAUUGCUACACUUACUAUUAACAAAUUAAGAUUUUAAAUAUCAUCCAAAAAUUAAUAAAAUCAAGUUUCAAUCUUCAUAAGAGUCAUUAAAAUUAGAAGAAUGCCUCUUUUUCAUGUGCAAUAUUUUUGGUGGGAGCUCCCACCUGUCGCAGGUGCAUGCCGAGUUGGGCUUCGAUUGACAGGUCAUUUUGCUAUAGAAUAGUGCAGGUAGAAGGCCACUUCAUAGUCAUCUUCUCUUGAGAGGUCUUGUUCACUCUCAUUCAUUGAAGUUGCCUCCUCCUUUCAGUCCCAUGAUGUGUGUGUGGUUGGCUAAACAUGUCCAGCGGGUAAUUUGGAGCUCUUAACCCAUUCAAUCGAGUAAAUUCUUGGAGUAUCGGGCCCAUUUCUUGCAUCCACCUAAUCAUUCCAUCAAUUGUUUCCUUCGGGCUCCCACUUAACCCUCUUCAAGCUUUCGACUUCUCUUUCCAUUUAAGUGAAACCAGAACAUCCAUUUUUUCUUUCCUCCUUUGAUUCCAGUUCAUAAUAUGUUUUCUUUGAAGCUUAAUGUAUUAUGUAUACAAUGAAUUUCCAAUUAUACUCCUUGUUGGCUUUGUAACAACCUAUACCCAACCAAUCGCUGAGCCUAAAUAUCAGGAUGUCACACCACCAUCUCAUGUUAUACACAGUAAUCGAAAGUUCAUUCUUAAAGAUACGCCUUCCAUUUUAGUAUUUGUAUAGGUUUUAAGUGGAACAUGCUCCAAAUUACCAUUAAGUCUUACUAAACAUACCUUUAAGCAUCGUAUAAUAACAUUUGUACAAACAUAAGUGCCACUUAGAAAAAUUUAGAAACUAAGUACUUAGGUAUCGAUAUUGACACUUAGGUACCGAUAUUUCUCUCAAGUGGUAUUGAUACCGCUUGGAAAUUUGUACCAAAUCAACAUUUUAUUUUUCGUCAAAAAUCCAAGGUCUAAAAAAUUAUUUGUACCUUUCAAAAAGUAUCGAUUAUUUUACCUUGAGUAUUGAUACUCAUGAUAUGAUAUCGACACCAAAUUACGAUAUUGUCUUCCUGCACUUCCAAAAACAUGGAGGUAUCGAUAUUAAAACUCAAAUAUUGAUACCCUGAUCCAAAAAUAAAAAAUACAACAAUUACAAGCAUAUAAUUCAUACCAACUAAUGUCUAAUCAUCAUGUAUCAUUCACUUCAUCAAAUGAUCACUAAAAUGUCUGAAGUAACAGUCUAAAACUUCAUAAUCAUGAUCGAGCAAGAAACAAAUAAUUCAAACUGAAAGUCCAUAAGUCCUAAGCAAAAAUAACCAUGUAAAUAACUUAAAGAUCAUAACAAAAACUAGCAUAUAGUCUACCACAUUACCUUCAGUUCCCAAAACAUAAAUAAGCAAAUAAACACUUAUGAAUAACUAAUAGAGUUUUGGCUUGGAUCACCCCUCGGAAACCACAUCGCUCACACCGGCACACGACUAAUCUGCAAAAGUUUAAGAAUGGAGUGGGUGAGCUUAACAAGCCCAGUGAAUGCCUAGAACAACUACCAUGCAAACAUGUCAUCAAGCAUUAGUGAAACAUACAUGUAGCAUUAUAGCAGCCUCAAUUUAGUUGACAUAUUUUACUUUACAUGCAUAUACGAUAGUUUAUUUAAAGAAUCAAUACAUACAUAUUCAUGAAUACAUCACAAUACACAAACAUAUUUAUAGAUAAUUUGGCAAUUGAGCUCUGAAACGUAAAAGUGGGAACUAUCACCACUCAUCGGAUACACAGAUCUUCAUCGCACCACAUAGACUAAUAAAGUUAAACAUGUCUUGUAAGUAAAGCAUUAAGCUAACACUUUCCAAUCACACCAAACAUGUCCCGUUGAAUGGAGCUUAGCUCACAUUCCCUUAUCUCUCCAAACAUGUCUCAGGGUCUCAACGCCCAAAUCACAUAUAACAUAGGUGAGUACUCACAAUCCUAUGGCAUGCCAACUAUAUCCAAUGGUCUCAACUAUCACAAUGCCAAAAUAUCUGUAUUUAGACACAUAUAUUACUUACUGAUUUUUGAUUACUUUUACUGCACAUUUGUAUCAUUUGCACAAUAUUAUGACAAUCACUUAGCAUGUAUGGCAUGCCUACACAUAUACUCUUUCACAACAGUAAUCAUGAACAUAUAACACAUAUAUAGCAUCUCAUUUCAAUUCAAAAUUUCAUAAUCACACAUGCACGUAUCUCACAAGAUAAACAUGGGUACAAGAAAGCUUACACUCAGAAUUUAGACUAGGGGUUUAGGUACCACUAAAUUCCUAAAUAACACAUUGAAUCAUAUCUACAAGCAAUUAAUCUAAACGAUCACUACUGCGCUUUCGCCAAAAUGCUAAAAGCUCAAACUAGCCUGUCCUAGCUCGUAGAUGAUCCUAGCGAAUCCAGAACUUCAGCAAAACAAUUCACACAACAAUAUAUUCAGAAAUCAGCUAAGAACUCACCACAAGUAAUAAAAAACGUAAGCCUAAGCUAUGGUCCCAUAUAAUCGAAAACUUUACACAAAGUAAUCUUUAAAUUCAAAUAUCUCAGUUUAUACUCAUUCUUUUUACCUAAAACAAAUUCCGUUCAUCUUAUAAAUCACCUACGACUAAUUCCUAAACCUUAAAUUACACAAAACUACUCAAUUCAUUGUAUCAAAAGUUUUGACAUGUUAAUGGUAAUUUUAAUAAAAAUUCAUUAAAACUCAAGGAUUCUUCAACGAAACAUUACAGCAAGUUUAGAAACCUUUUAACUACAUCAAAACUAAUUGAAAAGCACUUUAAAGGCACGUUUUUACUCAAAAACCUAAAAUUUGCCAUUAACAACCCAAUUUUUUACUCUUAUUCAAAUUUCACGAUUUAAUGGUUAAAAAUCAGUUUUAAGGAUCUAAUAAAACUAAAAACUAAUAGGUAAAUGAAUGGGUAUGUUAGGUGGAACAAAAAUGAAGGUUUUGCUGAAAACCUGGAAAACCCACAAGUGAGGAAGAUAAUGAAAUCAAAGAGAUUUUUAGGUGUUUUCUUGAAAUAUUAUGGAGGUUUAAUGCUUGGAAAGUGAAACAAUUCAAGAGUAUAGAUUUGGGGAAUCAAAAAUAAAUUGGAAGAGUAAGAGAGAGCAAUGCAUGACAACACUAGCAAGAAGGGAGAAAAUUAUUGUGAAAAAUAAGCUAGGAAUGGGGGUUUUUAGGUUGGUUUUUAAAAUUUGGUAAAACUGCAACACAAAUGCUCACAAUUUUGACCUUCUUCAAAUCAGUCUUUUUUUCUAAAGUUAAAGGUCUUUAAAACUCAUUUUCAAAAAUUGAUUUGACUUUCUACAAACCGCAGUAAAAAAUAUUACUGAUAAAGCAUGUCAAAAUUUUGAACACUCUAAGGCUAAAAUUCCUAAAAUACCCCUAAAUCUCUUAGGCCCUAUUUUAGGGUGUUACAAGCAUCAUGAUCAAUUCAUUUUCUUCCAUCUAGACCUUUACCCGUCGACACAGUUUUAUCAUCAAGUGGGGAAAGAAGAUUUCGGCUUUUUAGCUAUGUCUGCAACGACUCAUUUCACGAUAGAUCCAUAUGCCCACAUAAAUCUGCUUCCGCUGUAAAAUUCCAUACAAUAGAAUAUAGCUUGGAAACUAUUAAUGUUAGAAACAUUUAAUACGAGUGCAAUUCUAGUGCCUAUAAACAGAAUCCACAUUUUUGCUACUGGAAAAUCUAUAUCUAGCCUAUGGUUCCAUGUACCUCUACCUCGAGUUAAGUACUUCAUGAUAUCCUCCAUAUCUAUAUCCUCAAAUUUAUCUAAUUUAGUGUUAUCAAGAAAGUCUUUACUAUAGUAAGGUACAUCAUAAAAUUCACAUAUCUCCCUUGGGGUAACCGGCACCUCUUCUCCUCAUACUGUUACAGUAUCCCAACUUUGUAUUUGUUUUAUUUCCUGAUCUCUAAAAGAAGCAUAAAAUUCUUGUACUACUGAAAUUGCUAUAGUUUCCUUGGGAAUGUUACAGAAGCACUCUAUGAUGGUAUUUAAGCAUAUUAAAAAUUUCAUUGCACAAAACCAUUGAAGGUUCAAACCCUCACUCUUGAAUGAAUAGUCUACCUUGUAGCUCAAGAAAGUAUUUCUUGGCAUUUGGAUUCUCAAAAUUUGCAGGGUCUGAAACUACUCUGGGGUUUCUUGGACCGUAGCUUUCUUACUUUUCCUAGAAGGCAUUUUAUAUUGUUUAACUUUGAAGUAAUAAAAAAAUCAAUGGAACAGAAAAACGAGUAAAGGAACACUUCACCUUGACCUCCUUGCAAUUGUUUCUACUUUUCCUCUAAAUGCUUGAUAUUUCACCUAAAUAAAGCCUUAGGAAUAUCAAUGGGGAUUUUGUGUGGCUAGGGCUUAGAUGGAAAAGAAAGGUUUUGAAUAUGGAGAGAGUUGGAAAGGUUUUAUUAUUUAAGAAAGAGAGUUAGAGGUUGAGUUAGAGUGUUUUUCAGUUAAAACCAAGGGUUUUAGGGUUAAAAAAUUGGGUAAAAUAAGAGUUAUGUCACUGGGUUUUGCAAUCGAGUCGGGCCAACUCUAUAGAAAAUUACAGCGAAGUUGUGACAUAGGGGUUCUGUGUCAUGACAUUCCUACUAGUUUUGAAAAUUUAUGGAACUUUCUUCUAUGUCGCGACAUUGAAGUUGUAAUCGCGACACACACUGAAUUUUUGUGAGUCUGAGCAAUCUACCUUCUAUGUCGUGACACGUAGGUCCUGUGUCACAAUGUCGAGGUAUUUACCAUAGUUCCUUCAAUUAUGGGCUUAAUGUUGUGACGUGAAAGUGUCAUAUUACGGUUCUUCCUUUUUUUCUGAGUUUUUGGGUGCCUUGAGUGCAUGUUAGACCUAUAUUUAAUCUUUCAAUAAAAUUUCAAAUAAUUGGAUAGUAUAAUAUACAUUAAUGUACAUUCCUCGUAUUUUGUUAAUGUGCAUGUUGACUAAAGAUAUCAGGUCUUGCUGCCUGACUCAUCCGUCAACGUGGUUAAUAUGCACAUGGGCAUUCCUCGUAUUUUUUUCCUGUUGGUGUUGGUCCAACGCCCGUUAUGCCAUUCUAUUCUUCUCUUUCUAUCUCGCUCUCUAAAUUUACACUUUCAACUUGUACUGAUCAGUAACAAUUCUUUUCGCAGAUCGUAGCACUUAGUAACUUUUAAAAUCAAAUAGUAACACAACCAUCUUGACCUUUUUUUAUAGUCUUUAUUCCUCAAUAAAUUUAAGGAUCGUUGUUACAUGACAUUUCUAAAUAAUGCAUUUAAUAGGAAUAGUGUUAUGGAGGGUACCUUGUAUGUCUCAUUAGAAUAUCAUUAUGCACCACAUGGCUUGAGUUCUGGUUCCAAAAGUUUUCGGGUUUUUCUGCACAUUGGUUUAUAAGUCUACUGGGUGAUUUUUGUAAUAACCAAGUGAUUUGUGGUUCCUUCAAUUUUGGUUUCAUGCUUGUCAGUAGUUCUGUUUGAUUGAUGCCAGCCUUGUAAGCAUAAAUCCUGUCAACGUGUAUGUCUUCGAUUUUUGUCAACAUCCAGAAAAUCCCUAAAUCACUAAACUUUUGGGGUGUCUGAUUAACGAUCAAUAUCUAAAAAAAGAUAUUCAAAUUUAUUGUUCCCCCAUAAUUGCAUGUUUCUCCUCGCUCUUUUUCAAAAGACUUCAAGACUUCGGAUAUUUUUCCACUAUAUUAACAUCAAAUAGUAUUGUCUUUGGUCAUUGAGAUAGAUCUCUAAUGUCCAGUCUUCGUAUGUUUUUCCUAUAAAUCGGAUCUAUUGUCAUUGGAGAGUUAAAUCCAAAUCUCAUUUAAUCCUUUUGUUCUACCCCAUUUCCUCAACUGGUUUAAUAACUUAUUGUGAUGUUAUUUUUCCUAAUCCACUCAGAUACUUUUGUAACACCCCUAACCCAUAUCCGUCGUUGAAUUAGGGUUACGAGGCAUUACCGAACAGACACAACCAUUUUUUUAAAAAAAACCAAACUGAUCACAAACAUAGAAAUUAAACCAUAUUCACAUGGCUAAUUAUUUUAUACAAUCCAAAUCUAACCAAAAUCAUACUCAAACCUAUACAUGCCAUAAGAUCAAGUUCAAACUGUUAACAAAAUACCAAAAGAAGUCGAUAGUGUGAUAGACUAUGCUGACGAUCCCCAAGCUUGUAACGCGUCUCCAAAAUCUAUAAACAAAUAAACAAAAACAAUCAAAGUAAGCUUCUAUAGCUCAGUAAGUUUAUAGCAUAUCCAAAAUACAUAUAAACGAUCAUUUGUAUUAUCAUUAUAUACCUAAAAAUCAAGUUAUAUACAUCAUCAUUAAUCACAUAUAUAAAUUCCAAAUAUACUUAUCAUUGCAUUUCAUUGAAUGCAUGUUUAUGAUCUUUCAUAUACACAUGUCAAUAGCAAAUAAUUAUACUUAUCAACCACAUGUGUCGAAUGCACAUAUAUAUAUAUACUUUAGUUCACAUAUGCCGAACGCAUAGAUAUAUAUACUCACCAGACACAAAGAUUUAAGCUUUUAUAUGCUCAUCAAAAACAUAGCAACAGAUGUUCAUAUAUUAAUCCAAUAUAAAUAACCAAAUCAUAUACAUAUAUAUUCAAUGUAUACAAUCACUUAAUUAAAACAAAUUCAACGGCACAUAGCCCGUUAGACUUAUAGCCUGAUUCAGAUCACCGACACGUAGCCUGCUAGGUUUAUAACCUGAUUUAGAUCACCAGCACGUAGCCUGCUAGGUUUAUAACCUGAUUCAGAUCACUGGCACGUAGCCUGCUAGGUUUAUAACCUGAUUUAGAUCACCGGCAAUUAGCCUGCUAGACUUAAAGUCUGAAAAAUUCACCGGCGUUAAGCCUGCUAGGCGCUUAGCCUAAAAAUCUCAAUUUCACAGAUACAAGGAUGAUUUCUCGUAUAUUUCUUAAUGGCAACACACGUUCAUAACAUUUAUAUAUAAUUCACAAUCUCAACUCUAUCCCAAGAAAAUUUGUAGUCUAUGUUCGAAUCAUACAAGCAUUUAAAAUUUAUACUUUUAAUUCAAUGCAAAUCUUAAACAUAUAUAUACAUAUACAUUCAACCAUGUAUAUCAAUAUAUAAUUCCAUACCUAAUUUCAAUACAAGAAAUAAUACCUGUACAUAUAUAUAUAUAUACAUAACUAUAUAUUCGAACCUCACACAUAUGCAUAUAUAUAACAUUCAUACUCAACUAAUUUUCAAUACAUAUACUUUUAAUUUUAGCUCAUCAAAUAUACAAUAGGUGUACAUUUAUAUAUAUAUAUGUACAUAUUCGAACUUCAUUUAUGCAUAUAUAUAUAACACUCAUACUUAAAAUUCAUUACAAAAACAUAUACAUAUAUGUAAGCAUGCUUAUUCAAAUAUAGCAUAUGCAUAUAAAUUACAAUCAUGAGUUACAUAACUUUAUAUAAAUCCAAGAGUUUAUACAUAUAUAUACCUACAUAUAUAUAUUCGCACCAUAUAUAUAUAUAUAUAUUAUAAAUUCCUUUGAUUAAAAUCAAGAAUUUAUACCUAUGCAACAUUCAUAUUUUAACUAAUUUCAAUAACUUUUAUAUAUAUAUGUAUAUAUAUUCUAGCAUUAUAUAUAUACAUAUAUAUAUACAUGCUUAUUCGAAUAUCAAUUAUACUCUUAUACAUUUCUUACCUUUAUUUCAACCCAUAAAUCUAUACAAGAUUAUACUUGUAUAUUCGAACAUGCUAUAUAUGUAAAUAUCAUCCAUACUUCAAAAUUUAUUCAAUCAAUAUACUUUUAAUUAUAUCUCAACACAAAAUACAAUUAGUAUACAUGUAUAAAUAUUAACUUAAUAAAUUUUAAUUGCUAAUAGACUUACCUCGGAUAUCAACGGACACGAUCGACUAUUCGAUUACUUUCAUUUUUCCCCGAUCCAAAUCCACUCGCUUUGUUUCUUGAUCUAAACAUAAUCAAAUUUAACCUUUUUAUUCAUCAAAAUAUUCAAUUAACUCCAAAAAUACAUAAAUGGGAAAAUUACUAUUUUGCCCCUAACAUUUUACACUUUUUACAAUUUAGUCAUUUUUACACAAAACACAAAAUACACAAAAUUUGCCCACACUAAGCUAGGGCCGAAUGUUCCUUGUCUUCAUACAAGUCCACUCAUUUCAUUUAUUUCACAUUUUAGUCUCUAAAAAUAUUAUUUUUGCAAUUUCACCCUAUUUACUCAAUUUCACCAAAAAUUCCCAUACAAAAUAUAUUAAUCAAAAACAUAUAUUUCAUUAUUCAUUAUCAAACAUCACAAAACACAAUUAUUCAUCAAUGGCAUAGCUCAAAAUAUUCAUCAAAAUCAAAAAUUCAAGCAUGGGUCGGAUAGUACUCGAAGCAACGAUCUCAAAAACAUAAAAAUUAUCAAAAACCAACCAAAACAUACCUUGAAUUUGAGCUUCCAAGUGACCGAAUGUUCCUAAAUUUUUUUCCUAUUUCUUUUCUUUGAGUUUCGGCAAUCACAAAGAUGAACAUGGCUUUCUUUUAGUUAAAUUUUUAGCAUAUAAUAAUUUAUUAACCUUUUACUUAAAUAACCCUAAAAAUAAACAAACAAAACAAUAUAAUUUAAGGUCACUUUUGACCAUUACCUUCCACUAUCCUUUAAAAUAGACUAAUUGCCCUUUAAGGACCCCAUAUUAAAAAGCCAUUAUCAAAUAAACACUUUACACAUUAAUAUGCAAAUUUCACAUUUUAUGCAGUUAGAUACUUUUGUUAAAUUAAACACACAAACAACAAAAUUAAUUCACGAAAUUUUCACAACAUCAAAUUAAUAUAUAAUAAACACGAAAAAUAAUAUUAAAAUAUUUUUUUGACUCAGAUUUGUGGUCCCGAAACCACUAUUCCGAUUAGAGUCAAAUCAGGUUGUUACAACUUUUCCAUACCCUGAAUUAGUCGACCAUUCAAUGGUUCUCCCUCCUCACCAGUAGGUUUAGUUAUGUUCUUCUUUUCGUCUAGUUCUCGGCUUUGCUUUCAUUGAUGACCCAUUGGAUUUGUAUUGAUAUUAAUUCAUCCUUUUUGCAAAGGGAAUGGAUUUCCUCCUUGAAGUUGACUUAGUUAAAGCAUUAGUAAUAGUUGCUUCUCCUGGAUCUCCCAUUCCUCAUAAACUCCUACGUCAUAAAUGUCGUUAUCAUAAUAUAUCUCCUCAUCCAACCACAUGUAAUCAAAGUUAUCCAUGGUUUAUGCCAAACUAACUUUUGUGGUUAUUGUUGUAGGUAUCUUGGACAAGAAUUGCACAAAGAUUUCUUGCAAAAUAGAGAGAUGUUAGUAAUGUUAACAAAUAAUUAAUUAAAUUGAAAUCAUAUCUAUAAUCUGAAUAUUUCCUAGUUAUUCUAUUAAUAUGAAAAAAUUUUAAAAUUACUAUAGUGACAUUGCCUCCCCGGCAACAGCACCAACAACUUGACUACCUUCGAAUGUACCAACGUCUAGAGUAGAAAUCUUGCACAAAAGAUAUGAAAAGUAGUAUUCGCAAGUAUACGAGUAAGGUUGUAAUAUAGUUACAACGGAGUAGGUAAGUACUUCGAGGAUGGUACCCAAUGGAUGCGAGUACUAAAUUAAUUCUAAUUUAAACAUAUAUAGAUCUAAUUAGUAAUUUAAUUGGAUUAUAGUACAAAGAAUUAAAAGAAGGGUUUUGAUAAACUAUGCUAAAAAAAAUAAAGGAAAUAAAAGAAGGUAAAUAAAUAAAAUACGAGAAAUAAAACCCUCAAAUAUGUAUCAAAUCUGGGCAUGGGUGAUUAGCUUGCUUCAAUACUCAUAAUCAAUCAUCGUCACGAGUUUUCUUGUUCAAUCAACUAGUCAAUACUCUAACAGGAUAUUCCGAUUCGUCUACUAGACUACCUAGUAGGCAAGAAUUACUUAUCUAUUCCAAAUUCGGGUUAAUUGCUAUCUUAAUGACUUUUUAGGGAUGUCAGGCCUAGGGUUUUAGAUUCAUGCUCUCCUAAACAGUUGAUCCACUAAGAAACCCUUACAAAACAAUUAAUUAAUCAUACCUCCACUCGCUAAUCCCCCAUAGGACGAUUAGUUCCUCAUGCAUCUAAUAAACAAUAUAAACUUCACAGAAAGAAUAAACAUAAAGAGUAAUUCAAGUAAAUAGAAUUUAGAAAAAUCUUGAUCUGUAUUUAAAUUUUAGUCAGAAUCCUCACAGAGUUUGAUAGUAUUUCCCAAAUCUGAUUUCUCCACAAAAGUAAAUAACAAGAAUGAAAAUAAAAUCUAAAACCUAAGAAAAGAGAAAAACUAAACACUAAAUCUAAAGACAAAAUUCAACAAUAUGAAGAGUGUACAUAACAUGUGCUAAAUGAGCCUAUUUAUAGAUAUUAAAGUGUCGUCAUCCUUAACCCUAGGUUAGCUGCUAUCCUUGUGCUUAACAUUUGAUUAUCUGGACCAAAACGCCCCUGGCUCGUAAUUAUUUCCUGUACAGAGGCAAUGUUGCGACACACCAAGUCCUAUGUUGUGACACACCAAGUCAUAUGUUGUGACACACCAAGUCCUAUGUUGUGACAUCCUCAGGUUGUGUCACGAUAUUGAAGGCAGUGUUGGAAUUCUUCUAUUUUGCUCCUUAUGUUGCGACGUCCAAUGCUCCAUGUUACAACCUAGCGACCAAUAUCAAGUUAGUAUGUCUUCUAAUGGUUUCCUGCUCACUCACAAAGUAUAUUAGCUCACCCUUAGGCCUCAUUCGGCCCCUAAGGUCAAUAAAAUACUCAAAUUACAGAUUUUAUUAAACUUAACUAAGCUUACAGAAAUGUAAUAUAAACUUAACCAAAAUGCUUUUGUUCAAGCUUCUAAAGUGCGAAAACUAGUGUAAUCUACUACACUGAAUUUUAACAGAUUAAUAAAUAGUUAUAAUAAUUUCGGUCAAAAUAUAAUAGGACAUGGAAAGUGAUGUUAUUUUGGAAAUAAUAUAAUGUUUUUCCUGAAUUUCCAUUCGCUUCUCUAAUAAUAAGGGAAUAAUCUUAUUUUUAUUUUCUGAUAUAUGAUAUCAAAUUAAAUAAAAGGAAAUGAAUCUCUUUGUGUGUUAGGGUUACCAAAAUAUAAAUUAAAAAGGUCUAGUAGCCAUUCUUGAAAAUUCUCUCUAAAAAUAUUAAGAGAAUUUUGUAGUUCGUUCUUUGACUGGGUGGAUUUCGUAAAAGCCAAGACGUUAUUGUUGCAGCUUGGAAUUGACAUCUUCAAAAGGGAUCCUAUCAACAACAUCAUUAAUCAUUUUUUAGUUUUGAGAGGUAUAUAUUAAACCUUUUUUUCAACUCAAUUUGUUUUUCGUACAUGGAUCCUUGGUUGAUGAUUGGUAGAAUAAUUUUUCCGUUAUGUUACGGGGCAUACCGACGAUCCAAUAGGCCUAUGUAAGGGUAUUUUUGGCAUCUAAUAGUCAUCAAAAUAAACUUCAAAAUAGCCAAAACUUGUUGAGGAGGAGAGCCACACACAUUAGCUUAGUUUUAGGUUUAGUUUUCUAUAGGUUUUUGUUAGUUUUCUUUGCAAUUUUUCUAAGGUUUUAUUUUUCUCCUCUUCUAGCUUAGAUUAAAGUUUAUUUUUCUGCAUUUACAUCUUAUUCUUGUUGUUCUUGUUGUUAUUUAUGUUAGUUAAGUUAGCUAACAUUGUAGCUAAGGUUUAUUUACAUUUCUAGCCUCUGUACUUUACUUCAAGACUCCUUAAGCUUUAGUUUAAUGUAUUUCGGUUUAUUUUACUUUAAAUUUAUCAAAGCUUAUUCCAUUUAUAUUUCUUGCUUUAGAUUUCUCUGUUAAAUGCUUUUGGUUUCAUGCUAUUUAAGUUUACUUGUAUAAAAAUCUCAACUUUUAUAUUUUUCUCAAGCUUUACUUUUAUGGCUGCAUUUUUUUUCCAUUUAGAUGUUUAUUUUUUUACUUUGAGCAUGUGUAGCUCAAACCUUUAAGGAGGUUAGUUGAUGAAGAUGUGGAUAAACUAAAAUAUUUGGUCAAAGAACUAAAUCGUAACAACUUGGACUAAUUUGACUUGAAUUAAGAACUUAGGUAGUGACACCCCUAAGGGAAUAUCAAGAUAAAAUGAGACCGGAAGUUAAUCUUGUAGCACACCCAUUCGUUAGUCCCGGAUUAACCGAAAAAAUUGAAAGGUAAACCGGACCUAAGUCGUCUAAGUCAGUAAAAUUUAGAUCGAAAGGUAAAAUGGAAUCACUUCGUAAUUUACGCAAUUUAUGUCCCUAGUCCAAGAUUUGGUGAACCACAUCAAAGUUAACCAACCCCCAUUAGUUAUUUGCUAGAUAGUCCCUCUAGUUUACUUUUGUUGCAAUUUAGUCCUUAGAGUAAAAUAUUUAAUUUUCAUGCAAACUCAUCUUUUUACAAAUUUCAAUACUAUAAAAUUGUAUUAGUAGCCAUUUAAACUAUUGUGUAUGCUAGUUAUUGCUUAAUCGCUUCUUCCUUGGGGUUCCAUCCUUGGAAUACUCCGAUGUUUCAUUGUAACACUAUAAAUAUUACAACUGACCUAUACACUUACAUUAAAAUCGAGCUUUAAAAAUAGUUUCAUAAUUUCAAUAUUUUAAUGCGCUCACGUGCAACUGGUCAAUAUGAUUUUCGCUUCAAGAGAUAUUUGUAAAACAAAGGUAUGUAUGAGAAAAUAUUGUAUUUGGUGAAAAAGCAUCAGCUCUGUUAAGGUUAUAGUUCUCUUUGGGGGAAAAGACAUAAGUAUACACCCAAAUUUUAUGAAAGAAGGUAUGCGCUAGGUGUGAGAGUUCUCUUGAAAGGUUGUCCGCCAUGGUUAAGUGUUUGCCAAUGAUGUGAGAGUGUUCAUCCGUGUAUCUCAGAAUGUAGAGCUCAAUAAUGUCUGGGUUUAUGAAUUUGUAAUGAAAUUUUAUUCUUGUUUAACUGUCGAGUUUUCUUUUCUGGAACUAACUAAGUUCUUUGAACUUACCCCUUUUACUUUCCACUCUUGCUAGGUGAUCCUCCAUUGUAGUCUUAUUAAAGGGACUCAACCUGAAGAAGCAAUCUCUACAGUGAGUUUCGUCUAUGUUAGUUUUGUAAUAUGCAUAUGUUUUGGAGGUGGUGUGUAACUCUGUUCUAAAACUGAAUUUGUAAUAAAUAUAUUUUUUACCCAAAUACAGGUUUACAAAAAUGUUACCCCUUGAGGGAUUUGUUAAAGUUUAUUAAGUUUUGACUUAUGAAAUGAUUUCUACUAGUAUUAUAAUUCGAGAAGAGUCUUUCAAACAAAAUAUUUAAACCUAUUUACUUUUAUCUUAUGGCAUAAACUGCUUAAUAACUUGUGUUUUUUUAAGAUGAUUUCCAAGUCUCCACCUAGUUAAGUUUGUUAUGUCUCGCAAUUGAAUUGUAAAUUGACCUAAGUAUAAAUAUUUUUUUGUUUGUGUAAUGCCUCAGUCGAUCCAUGGGGAUUGAGGUGUUAUAAGUUGUAAUUAGCGCCAAGGUUGCGAUGAUUCUUGUACAACAAAAGGUUGAGUCAUGCCCUAAGAUUCAUGUUACAUGUGUUUUUGGCUAGUCCCUUAUAGUUUUGCUAAAUUGUGUUUGUGUGUAUGUGGUUAAGAUGUCUAUGAAUUCUCGCAAUGCUGUAAAUACUGCAAAGGAUGCGUUUGUUAAGAUGAGAGAAAGAUGGUAUGAUCAAUUUAUAGGAAAUGCUCAUAUACCUUCAACUUAGUCACAUUCAGAAGUUAUACCACAAAUACCAAUUGCUCCAGCUUUGUUAGCUGCAAACCAGUUUCAAGGACUAUCAUAAUUUGGAAUACCAGUUUAAAUUAGUUUUCGUACUCGAUGAGUUUGAAUACAAGCAUUUUUCUUAUACUUUAGUAUGUUUUCCUAGUUUUGUUUAAAUCCAAUAAAAAGUGCAUUUUGAGUCUUUUAUUGACCUUAGGGGUCGAAUGAGGCCUAAAGAUGAGCUAAUAUACUUAGUGAAUGUGCAAGAGUGCAACCCCUAAGCUUGGUCUAAACGUUAUGGCCGAAUCUCGGAGAUCACAUUGGCUAUGUUAAUGGCGCAAAAAAUCAUUUGAAUAUUUUUUAAUAAUUGUCUUUAGUUUUAAAACGUCAUCUUGAUUUGCUUUAAAAGAGGCCAUAUAUUGUUUAUAAUUUUCCUUUCGAAAGAGUUCGUUGAAGUCAUCUCUCUUUUAGAAAAAUUCAAGUAUUGAUAGUUUUUAGAAAACAUAGUUUGUCAAUUUAAAACAUCGCAUCGAACAAUUUAUACAUUUAAAAACUUGUUCAUCAUUUUGAAAAUGUAGGAAUAAUAUAACUUGUAAACUAUUAGUUUCGUGAGCAAGUGGUAUUGAGUUUUGAGAACAGAAUAUCUAGUUGGAUUAAUCAUAUUGUAAAAAAUUUAUUAUUUAAUUAUUAUUUGAUAAAAACCUCUUAAGUACUAGUUUAAAAACAUUCAUCAUACAAAACCAUCCAAAAACCACAACAAAUCCAAAGUCCAAAAAAAGUCCAAGUCAAACGUAAUUAAACACAUCCCAAAAUAACGAAUACCAAAAUAUAGUUUUCAGAAAAAUGACCGAGAGCACCUCCGUUGUUGAGCCUAUCCUAACCUCAAUUAUUAUCUAAAAAAUUAGAAUAAAUAGGGGUGAGCUUUAAAAAGCCCAAUGUGGGUUACAAAUCAUAAUAACAGAAUUUAACACAGAACAGCAAUAAUGUAAGCAGAUCAUAAACAUACAGAACAUUCAGUCGCAAAAUUACAUUUAUUAGAAUGCAUAGUGACGACGUUAAUGUAACACUUUUUCAUAAAUCAAUGCAGAAUUUUAGAAAAUAGAUCCUACCCAUGUCCGCUACACACCGUAAUGAUUUCCCUAUAACUCGCCCAUCCAAUAACACACUAAUAUUGUGGACAAUCCACCAGAUAGUACAGUCGAGCUACCAAAAACAUAAUAUUAUGGUCGAGCCACCAGAUAAUGCAGAUAUACCACCAAAUAUAGAAUAUUAUGGGUAUACUGCUAGUUAAGUCAUCCCGGUUUGCUCGACAACGAUGACUCACCACCCCGAGUUGCCCGAAAACGAUGGCUUAGUCAUAUCAAUAUACAGUUAAGCUGCGAGAUCCUUCCUCCGUACACAUUAUCCUAACCCCAUGUAUGUGAAAUGACAUCCAAAAUAGAUUUUACAGUAGGCAUGCGUUACACGCGAAUCAGAUUUAUUUUUUAUUUAACACAGUGGCAUGCUUAACAUGCAAAUCAGAAUCAGAAACAAUGACAUGCUUAACAUGUGAAUCAGAAAAAAAUAAUGGAAUGUUUAACAUGCGAGUCAAAAUCAAAUUAAUAGCAUGCUUAACAUGCAAAUCAGAAUGUCAUAAUAUUAACAUGUUUAACAUGUGAAUUAAAACAUCAAUAAUUCAAUAUCACGUUUAUUGUACAUACAUAUUCAAAUCGCCAUAUCUCAUAUAUCAUGAGUGUAAGGAAAUCACACAUCAACAUUUUUAACAUAAAUGACACAAUUAGAUAUUUCAUCACAGACCUGAAGUUUCAGAACACUUACUUCAAAUUCUCCUUUGACGAUUUUUUUCUAAACCUUAUGAAUAAUUCAUGUAAUCGCCAAAUAACACUUCUUAGAGACUUAAUUAAAUAAUAAGAAAAUAUUUCUCAAAUAUAGAUAUUUUAUGUCGAUUAAAUAAUACUAAUUAUUUUUAUAAAAUAAAUCCUUACACCUUUGUAAUCUGAUCGUAAGGAUUCCGAUCCAACUAUUAACAGAUGAGAUCGCUUCUUGAACCUUUAUGGAUUAACCAAUCCUACGUAUUAUAACGAGUUACUCAAAUAAAUAAUCCUUUAAUCUUAUUUUAUGGAGAAAUAUUACGUAAUCAAUCACCUAACUGCAUUCUAAUACAAGUGGUGUGUGGAUUUCUGGACUUUAAUAGCAAUUCAAUAAAAUUGUUAAGUCUAAUUAAUUCGUGUUGUCUUAAUUGAAUAUGUAUGUAUAAAAUAUACAAGAGUGAACAAGAACAAAGGAUUGGCUAUACUUACGUAGUAAUGGAGGAAAGAGGGCUCAACAACUUCCCACGAUAUGUUGAUUAGAGAGGAGGAUUCGACAUUAUCAAAAAAUAAUAUGAUGUGAAAUAAAAGUUAGAAAAUAGAAUGGGAGGUAACCCUUUAAUGAACAUAAAUCAAAAUUGAGGGGCUACAGAGAUGAAUUUUGAAAUGAGGAGGAGAAAAGAAGAAAAUCGAGAAAUUUUGGGUAGUGGUCAACGAUGGCGGCGAUAUGAUGACAACGAAAGUGGUGGAGGAGAGGUGGUGGUGAGGUGGAGGUGCAGCAGCCUUAUGUAGUGGUGGAGUGGUGGAGAAAUGAUAAGAAAGGAUGAUUUAGGUGGUGAAAUGGAAGAAGAAAAAAGAAAACAGGGAGGAGCAAUGUGGUGGACGAAAAAGAGAGGGGAAGAAAUAUGUUUUAAGUCUUAGAUAAAUAAUGAGAUCUUAGAUAAAUUAAUAAGAAAUAUGUUUUCAGUGUCAUUUAUUAUUUUAUUUUUUUUAAGUACUUUUCUUUGUAAUUUUUAAUACCUUUGAAAAUUUGUUAAUGCAUAGCUUGGAGUCUAAUUUUUGGUAUGUAAAAUGGCUUGUGUUUGGAGGUGCUUUUAGGCACACAUUGCUUGGGACAUGAUUUGCCACAAAACCGUGUGUCCUACAUGGUUGCAUGAUACGACCAUAUGGCCUCUUUGAUUUUUGGUACAGGUUUGACUACAUGGUCUCAGAGAGUUACACAACCUGGCAAGAUGGUCGUGUGACCCUAAGUUACACGGGCACAAGUUACUACACAAUUUGGCCACCUUGUAUAGGGUGUUACAUCUUUUCUCUGUUUGCUCCUCCCUUUUCACCACCUUGUACCGCCCAAAUUUGGUUACUCCUCCUUAAUCAUCUCAUUUCCUUCCUUCAUUUUACUUUUAAAAAAAAUUAAAUCACCACCCAUCAUCCACCUCUAUUUCAUUAAAUCACCACUAUCGAACUACAACACCACAACCCUAGCACCACUAUACUACCACCUUUGCACCACAUUGAAACACUAUUUUCUUCCAUAGCUUUUAUUCUUCUUUCUUUUCUUUAUUUCAAAAAUCAUCCAUUCUUUUUUCCUUUAUUUUUUUUUGCAAACAAUAUUAAUUUUUUAUUUUUAAUAUAAAUCAUUCUCCUACUAUUUUAAUCUCUAUAUUACCAUUUCUUCUCCUCAUCUUGGAGUGGUUCAUCAUCGUUCAUCAUUUUUGACACUAUUGGUAAUCAUUAUAUUUUUUAUCCCUUAUUUUCUAUCUCUUUUAAUUCAUCUUAUUUUUCUUUGUAUAUAACAAUUUCAGUUUUGUAAUUCUUUCUUUGUGUGUGAAAAUGAUCAAUUUCAGUUAACAAAUUCAUCAUGGGUAGGAAAUUUUAGAAAACUUGCAUAUAUGUUUUAUAAAUAUCUUUUCAUUAUCAUAAUCAUGCACAUAAAGAUUGCAUGUUUGAUUAUUAUGUGCUUAAUAAUAUUUUAGUUAUAUUUGAAGUAAUUUAUUAUGUUAUUUAAGCUUGAUUAAAACACACAUUAAGCUUAUUAGCUCACUCUUUCUAGUUUCUUAAAACUUUUCAGAUAAUACUCAAGGAUAUGACUUGACUGUAGUAAUUGAAGGAGAUUCUCAGAUUUAUUUUAAAAUAAAGUAUUUAAAAAUCUUUUGGGAUUCUUUUAGAUUAUGAACUUUGGUUUGUUUUGCUAUUGUAAUUAUGCAUAAGAACUCAAUAUGAUAUUUAGAAUGCAUGUAUAAACUUUGGAUUUUAAAAUGCUUAAACCAUUGAUUUAAAAACUUAAUUUGAUAAAUCUUAAUUUCUAAACUAAUUUAAAAAUAAAGUUUUCAACAGUAUUAUUCAAUUUGUUGUCUAUUUUUAAAAAUAGAACAUUUGCAAAAUAACAUUUCAAAAUUGAUAUGAAAGCCUUUUUCUUUGUGCGACUAAAAGAAACUGUACAAGCCCAUUUUUGCCCGGGGCCCUAUAUGGCCCAAACAAAACCAUAAAACCAAUACUCAAACCCAAUAAUCAAAAAACACUAACAGCCCACUAGCCCACUAUCUUAACAUUUCAGAAAAAAAUAAACCUUAGCCCCUAAACCUCUUCAGCCGCCAGCCUCCUCAUGCAUGCUCACUGCCACACGCCACUGCCUCUCUACGCGUCUGACGUUUCUCUAACACCACCUACAACACGCAAAAGAAGAAGACAACAAGCAGAAGAAACAAAUAGCAAAAAACAAAAUAGAAACUGAAAUUUUUAAUUUUGGCUAUAAAAGAGCCACCACCAAAUCAAUGUCUUCUUCUGCCUUUUUUUUAAAAACACAAAAAGGAGAAAUAAAAAAAAAGAAUUGAUCCAAGAACGAAAAAAGGUUGCCUUUUUACUUUUAUUUUUCUUCUUUUCGCCUUAUUUUUUCUAUCAUUUUAAAAGAAAUAAACAAAAAGUAAAAAAGAGCCGAAAGCUCACGUUUUCUUGCGUUUUGCGCGGCCAUGGGUGGCCGAGGACGGUCAUCUCCGAUGAAAGAUGGAACUUUUCAGGCUAGGGGAUUCGAAAGGCCAAAAAAUGGCCAUUUUACACUUUUCAGCCACCAUGGACAACGGUGCUGUCGUCGGUGAUCGGCGGCCAUCAUGGUGGUCCGACGGUCGAAAGUUGACCAAGAUUGGGGGCUGCUGUAGAGAAAGAACGGAGAAAAGGAAGGCUUUUUUUGGUUUUUUUAAAAGAAAGGGGGUCUGAAUGUUUUUAAAUUAUUUUUUUGUAUUUAUAAAUUCCCCGAAACGACGUCGUUUGGGGCAGGCUUCUGUAGCCCCAAAACGACGUCGUUUUACAUAAAACCCGAAGACCCGACCCGCACUGAUGGGAUCCGUGUGUUUUUUUAGUGGUAGGGAAAAUUGCACUUUCAGCCCUUCCGCUUUUUAAUUAGUUUACAAUUCGUUUAUUUUAUUUCUUUAAGUUUACCUGUUAAUUUUAUUUGCUUUUCCAUUUUAAUCCUAAAGAACGAUGUCGUUUAAAGGAUUGGGAAUAAUUACCCAUCUGGUCCUCGCCUUUUCAGCGCAUUCUAUUUUGGUCCCUAGUGACCCUUUUAUUUAUUUACGAUUUAAACCCCCAAAUUUUAAUUCGACUUGAAUAUUGUCAUUAGUCUAUUUAAUUUAUUUAGUUCCCUUUUUAAAAAAAGGCUCUUUUAUUAUUAUUUAUUUUAAGUUUUAUAUAUAUUUUAUUAUUUAUCAUAAACUGUUUUACCUAACAUUUAUUUUUAUUAUAUUAUUUAUUUUAAACCAUUAUAUAUUAUCUUUUAAAAUUCUCAUAUAUUAUUUUUAAUAAAGAAAAAAAAGUUUUAUAUGUUAUAUAUUAUUUAUUUAUUUUAAACUAUUUUAUUAUUAUUCAUUUUAAGCUUUUUUAUGUAUUUUUUAUUUGAAGUCUUUUAUCAGUUAUUUUGAAUUGUUCUCAUCAAAUAUUCAUUUUAGACUAUUAUUUACAUGAUAUCAUUUUCUAUGUUAUUUCGUUUUGACUACUUCGAUUAUUGAUAUUGGUAUUUUGAAAUGAUACGUGUCGUGUACUUAUUAUCAUUAUGUGUACUAAAACUUUUUUAUUUGUUUUCAUAUUUUUGCCACUCACUAACAUGACAUUUUAUUCAUAAAUUGUUAUUUUGUGUUUUAUAUUAUCGUUCAAUUUCGCUUCAUCACUUCGAAACUUGCCUUCAAAUUGUUUAUACCUAUAAUAAACCGCUCUAUUUUGACACAAAUAAAACAAAUGCACCUCGUUCAAGUAUCGUGCCCGCAAUUAUUCAAAAAGGGGAAAGUUUUAAAAUAAGGUCAUAUUUCGCGUUUUGGAUAUUCGAGAAAUUGUACCCUAACUUACGGGGUUUUAGUUUUCUCGUUAAACCUAAAUAGCAAAAUAUCAUUUUAAAAUUUAAAAUGUACGAAAUUUUCAAGAAAAAUUAAAGACAAGCUUGUUCUCUAAGGUUCCAAAUAUCGUGUCCUAACUUAUGGGACGUGACAUUUCGUUACCUCGAGACGAGUGGGUCUUUAAUUCUCUUUUCGAUUUAUUCAAGCGUUUUUUAAUAAAAAGAGGAUCGUAUUUUAUAUUUCCCUUCAAAUUUUCAGCUUUCGACAUUAAGACAUUAAGUAAUCAACCCGGUACCAAUUUUGGGCGCAUCGAGGGUGCUAACCCUUCCUCGUGCAUAAUCAACUCUCGAACCCAAUUUUUCAAAAUUUCGUAGACCAAAAUCAUUAUUUUGAUAAAUCAAAAUAUUUUAUUAAAACAACAAAAUUGCGAGUUGACCCAAUCGCACCUCAUAAAAAAGGAUUGGUGGCGACUCUCGUAUUUGUUUUAUUUCAAAAUCAAAGUCGACCCCUUUUACAAAAAAUGGUUUCGACAGCUGGGAGACUCUGCUGGGGAUAUUAAAAUAAGAGAGUUAAGCCACAAGUUGAUUAUUUUUUGUCUUUUUGUCGAAAAUUGAUAAUUCGAUUUAAAUUUACGAUCAUUUUAUUGCAUUUCAUCCGUCAUUUUUGUGGUUUUCGUUACAAUAUGUUUGCUUUAUUGGUUUACGCCUUUCGAUAUGUUUUUGCAUAUUGCAUUACAUGAUCGCUCGAUUAUACCCUUUACGUGGAAGUGACAAACUACGCCUUCGUGAGGUUUUGACCUCCGCAUGGGAUAGUGGAUCGCUUUCGGGAUAUAUCCGUACCUAUUUCUUAUUGAGAUUUUCAUCUCCGCAUGGCCAUAGGGAAAUGUAUUACCCUGAACUAAACUCGGUCCAUAUGAGCCUCUAAUGGGUGAGGAUCGAGGAAUCAUUGAUUCGAGUACCUUUACUUUAGACCCAAACCACAUAUAGUGAGCCUUAAUAGCUUACCCUAGGAAGAACCACAUCAAACCCUAGUGGUCACCCAAAUAGGUGUUUUGUUUAUUAUUCCUUGCUCAAUUUAGCUUUGUAUAAUGUACUGACUUGUUUUGUUUUGCUUUGACUGUGAUUGCAUUGCAUUUUCUUCAUAAGAAAGAGGUGUUGAUUCAUGUUCAGUUGCCAAAUAGAGAGCUUGUCAUGGAAAAUGGAUUUCUUGAUAAAGUGGAAGACAAUGCGGUCGUUCGAAUAGGGCCCAAGAAAACAUAACGAGGGAAUGGUGAUAAUCUAGUGAAUAAGCACACGACUUUGCUUCGUUGCUCAUGGAUUCAAGUUGACAAAGAUUAUUUGAGUGCCACCAACAUUCCAACUUUCUUAAAGAACCUAACGAGCAUCACGAGGAUGAGUGAACAAUGAGUCGCGACUUAAAUCAAGCAAAAAGGAGAUAGAUGAGGCACCCCUUUGAAGAGUUCGCGAGAUUUGAUCUUAACAUACGGAUAUGAGGAAGAUGAUUGAUGUCUUUACUUUGAGUAUUAGGGCAAGGCUGUAUUUGUAAAUAUUCGUUUUAUGCAAAGAGACUUGUUUUCUAGUAAAGUUGUUCUAAUAGAAUUGAAUCAGAAUCAACGCCUUUUUUUGCAUUCAUGCAUCUGUAUUACAUUUCAUCAUAUGCAUUAAAUUUCACAAAAGGAUCCUAAUUAAUUAGAAUUAUGGCAGUUAUCCUAGAAUAUCGAUACACGAGGAAAAAAUAAAGAAAUAGGCCAAAGGUUGGAGAGAUUAGAACAAAGGAAAAUACAUAUGCAAGAGCAAUUGGCCAAAAUUAAACAAGAUAUGAGGGAUGAGAUGCUAGAAUACCAAAGAAAUGUGAUGAGCCAGUUAACCCAGUUGCUGGCUGGAGAGUUAGAAAAAGAAAAGAGCCCUAUGGUCAAUUCUGGGGAUGAUAACGAGGACCUUGCUUAUUCUUCAGGCUUUACCCUAACAAAUACCCAAGCACAACCAAAUACAUGUCCACAAAGGGUGUCUGUUAACAUCAGACCCCAAUACCAGACUGAUACCUCGACACUGGCGAACUUCCCGAUAGGUUCAGGUUCUAACUUGGGGGAUAAUCUAACCAAUCCUGUUGUCCUUGAUUUGGAUGAUCUAGCGGAAAUAAAACAGAUGAGAAUGGAGCUCCCAAAUAAUUUAAAUAUCGUUACAAACGGAAAAGGCGAGAGUGGAGCUCCCAAAUAAAUACUUUAAAGACCCUAAGGAAAAGAGAAAACGACGUGAAUAAUGUAGCCACGUGUAACAAGAGUUAUUCGAAGCCAGUCACUAUGAGCCAAACGAGAACGAUAACCACUGGUCAUCAGGGCCCACCAAGACAAGAGUCCAAUGCUAGGCAAAGAACGGAGAAGCCUAAGUUCACGCCUAUUCCAAUGACAUACAGAAAGUUGUACCAAAGUUUAUUUGAUGCACAUGUUGUUUCCCCUUUCUACCUAAAACCUAUGCAACCUCCAUACCCCAAAUGGUACGUCGCGAACGCCCAAUGCGAGUACCACGCGGGAAUCACAAGACACUCGAUUGAGAACUACACUGCUUUCAAAAAGAUAAUCGAAAGACUCAUCAAAAUGGGUAUUGUGAAAUUCAAUGAUCCAUCUAGUGCAGAAAAUCCGUUACCCAACCAUUCUGACAAAAGGGUAAACGCGAUAAUCGAGAGUGCAGAGAGGAGAACCAAGACAGAUGUUGUAGAAGUAAAAACCCCACUGAAAUGGGUUUUGAAACAAAUGAUAGACAGGGGAUUAAUCAUUCAAAACUUGGAGAAGGGACUAAAAGGGAUUAGGAGCUACUGUGAGUUCCACGCUAAAAAAGGUCAUGAAAUCCAGGAGUGCACUGAAUUCAAAGCUUUGGUGUAGAGCCUAAUGGAUAAUAAAUAAUUGGAAUUCCUUGAAGAAGUCAAAGGCUCGAAAGGAAUGUUGGGGAAUUUGAAUGUUAACGCCGUAUCCGAAGAGGGAGCCGGGGAAGAUAAUUUACCAAGAUUUUGCCCUUACAUAUUUAAGAGUGUUUUGAACAAUGGGACUGUAGAAGGGAUCCCUGUAUUUUUUAGAGCUAUUUGGAAUAAUGUCCAAAACACGCUUAUUGCUCUAAGCCUAGGGGCAAUAAGAAUCAUUUUGUGAGAUAGGCUUAUGUCCAACAUCUUUAUUUUAAUAAAAUACAUCUUUGUUUCUCAUUUCGAGUAAAUAUUCUUUUAUUGUUUCCAUUUCAUUCAUAAUCAUACUAUAUAGAUAAAUAUUCUUAAAUUCUUUUGUUCUUUGGAUCUUCCUUCGUCCCUAUAAUAGGUCUCCAGAUAUCAAUGAUGUGAGUGACACUGCUAUUGACUUAGAACCUCCUUUUGAGCAAGAUAUGUGUCCAGAAGAACCACAGGACUUUAAAGAUGACCGAGACUGUAACUUAUCUCCUAAUUUGUUAAGGAUGGUAAAAUAAAAUGAGAAACAGAUCCUACCUUAAAAAGAAUUAAUGGAAUCCAUGGCUUUUCUCUAUGUGAGGUAUGGAUAUCAUUGGGUCGAUCUCGCCAAAAGCUUCUGGCAGUCAUCGAUUCAUCUUUGUGGCCAUCAAUUUCUUCACUAAGUUGGUGGAAGUUGCUUCAUAUGCCAAUGUUACAAAGCCGACAGUCAGCAAAUUCUUAAAAAAAUCAUAUGUCGGUAUAGAAUGCCAAAAAGGAUCAUAUCUGACAAUGCAUUGAAUUUGAACAAUAACACGAUAUCAAAAAUUUACAAUCUGUUUCACCCCAAGAUGAACGGUGUAGUAGAGGCAACCAAAAAAGAAGAAGAAGAUCAUGGAGAAAAUGAUUCAGACUCAUAAAGAUUGGCAUGAGAAAUUACCAUCUAUACUUAUCAAAUGUCUGUCAAGACCCCCAUAGGGGCAACGUAUUUCUCAGUGAUUUGCAGAAUAGAGGCGGUUGUGCCCAUAUAAGUCGAAAUUCCUUCUCACCGAGUGUCGGCUGAGUUGAAGAUGGAUGAAGCAAAAUGGAUCAAAUCUCGAUAUGAUCAAGUGAACUUGAUUGAAGAAAAGAGGUUGAAAGUUAUCCGUCAUGGUCAAAUGUACCAAAAACAAAUUAUGCGAGCUCACCAAAAAAGGUUCACCCCAGAGAAUUCCAUGAAAGGGACCUAGUAUCAAAGAAGAUCAUUCCCAUACAAAAGGACUUUAGAAGAAAGUAGAUGCCAAACUAGGAAAGACCUUAUGUGGAAGGUCUUAUCUAGAAAAGCAUCGAUAUUGACCAAGAUAGAUGGCAAGAACCUGUCUAAUCCUGUGAAUUCUGAUUCAAGCAAGAAAUACUUCACUUAAAAAAAGGAAAAAAUGAAAAUAAAAAAUAAAAAAGAAAAGAAAAAUAAGGAGAGGCCAAGGUGAAAACCCGCAAAGGACACCUAGAGGCCAAAGGGGUUUUGAAUUGAAAACCUAAGAAUGGGCAAUUCAAUUUUUUGAUCAAAGGUGGGGAUGUGGUAUUCUUGUCCUCUCCGAAUUAACAAGAAGAAGGGAUGCUACAUCUUGGGGCAUCAACAAAGUCUUCUAAGACUUCUAAACACAUAUCAAGUUCAAAGGGUCCUCAAGAAGUUUGUGCAGAGAAGCUCAUGCUACGAUAUUUGGGGCACAUGUUUUCAUCUUAUUCAUUUCGUAUCUUAGCAAAAGUUGCUAUUUUGAUUAAUUUAUUCAUUUCAAGCUUUGCUCUCAAUAAAAUUCCAUCUUGUCCAUUGUGAUAAUCUUUUUCGAGCAUUUAUCAUUGAAAUAACGAUUAAUGGACUGAUAAUGUUCAAGCAAAAAGAGUUCUACAUAAUACUCUGAAAGCUUCUAAAUAGUACGAGGACCCGAAAUAGGACUAUUAUUUAGAACUAACCAAACCUAAGGGUUAGAGACAUUUGGGAAAGAAUAGUCUAAAUUGUGACUAUUUCUUUAGGUUUUCUGUCAAAGAUACGAGCUGAACAAGAAAUCAGCGUAAUACGUCAGUGAUAGAACCUUGAUGAACAACAAGCAAUGACAACCUAAGCAUUAAAAGAGGAUCAUUCUCGAAAAAUGACAUUCUGCAUUCAUGCAAAUGUCAUUCAUACACAUCUAGUUAGGAGCAUUUGAUUCAUUUUGAUCAUGACAUCCUAAUUACUAGGCAUAAAUAGGUCCGUGAAAUGGAUUCUAUAGGUCAUGUUCCCCAGAGACCAGGUCAUAUUCCCCAGAGAACAAAUCAGUAAAACCACAGAUCCUGUACCCCUGAAGUUGCAGUGGGAUGGAUUGAAGUCAUUAUGGUGGAUCUUAUCUUCCUAAAGUUGCAGUGGAGCAGAUUGAAGCCACCAGCCUUAUCUCCCUGAACUUGUAUCCUUCUUCCAUCCGUCCAUAAUUUAUAAACUUCAUCAUGGAGAAGAUAAUAGGCUUGUGAUAAUAAUUCUAAUCAUGUUUGGACUUGAUAAUUUUCAAAUUUAUUAUAACAUUCAUCAAUUUUUUUUGACAAAUGUUCUUUAUCUUCAUUAACAGCAGAUAAUUGGGGUGUUCCAAUCAUCUUUUUAAUAAUCCAAAUUUGAUACGGCUGAUAAAAUUUUUCUUGUUCAACUAAACCAAUUAGACUACUAAUAUCAAUAUGAAAAUAGUAAUAAAAAUCAUCAUUGUUUAUGAUGUUUUGUAAAAUAGACUUUACAAUAGCUGAAAAAUCUUUUAAAAGAUAAAAAGAGAGAUUUUGCACAACUAUUUCUUUAGUAAAGCCCCAUUCAAUAUUGGUUAUAUCAGGCGAAUCUUAUUUCCUUGACGUUGUAGUGGAACAAUUAAAGCUACCAAUUAUGGCAGAUCUUAUCCUCCUAAAGUUGCAGUGGAGCAGAUUGAAGCCACUAGCCUUAUCUCCUUAAAGUUGCAGCGAAGCAGACUGAAGACAGCGAAUCUUAUUUCCCUGGCGUUGCAGUGGAACAGAUUAAAGCUACCAAUUAUGGUGGAUCUUAUCUUUCUAAAGUUGCAGUGGAGCAGAUUGGAGCCACAAGCCUUAUAUCCCUGAAGUUGUAGCGGAGCAGACUGAAGACAGCGAAUAUUAUUUCCCUGGCGUUGCAAUAGAACAGAUUAAAGCUACAAAUUGUGGCGGAUCUUAUCUUCCUGAAAUUGCAGUGGAGUAGAUUAAAGCCACCAGCCUUAUCUCCCUGAAGUUGCAGCGGAGCAGACUGAACACAGCGAAUCUUACUUCCCUAGCGUUGGAGUGGAACAGAUUAAAGCUACAAAUUAUGGCGGAUCUUAUCUUCCUGAAGUUGCAAUAGAGCAAAUUGAAGCCACCGAUCCUAUCUCCCUGAAGUUGUAGUGGAGCGGAUUAAAACGACAAAUCCUAUACCUUUGAAGUUGCAGUAGCUCGGAUCAAAUUUACCAAAUCCAAGUCUUAUCUCCCUAGAGUAGAUUGAAACUACAAUUUUAUCUCUCUAAAGUUGCAGUGGAGCAGACCAAAACCAUAAAUCUCGUCCCCCUGAAGUUACGGCAAGUAGAUUGAAGCUACAAGUCGUAUUUCUUUGAAGUUUCAGUGAAGUGGAUCGAAGCAACAACACGCAGUGGAUUGAAAUGAAGCUAUUUGAAAAGAGAAACAUCAAAAGAAGUCAAGACUCGUCAAGACCGGGCAAAAUUGGUCUUUCUUAAAAGUCUUUGUGCCAUUCCUAUUACACGACAAUACCAAAGAGGGGCAACUGUACAAACCCAUUUUUGCCCGAGGCCCAAUACGACCUAAACAAAACCAUAAAACCAAUACUCAAACCCAAUAACCAAAAAACCCUAACAGCCCACUAUCUUAACAUUUCAGCAAAAAAUAAACCCUAGCCCCUAACCCUCUUCAGUCGCUAGCCUCCUCACGCAUGCCCACCGCCGCACGCCACCGCCUUUCUACGCGUCUGACGUAUCUCUGACACCACCUGCAACAUGCAAAAGAAAAAGACAACAAGUAGAAGAAACAAAUAGCAAAAAACAAAAAAAUAGAAACUGAAAGUUGUAAUUUUUGCUAUAAAAGAGCCACAACCAAAUCAAUGUCUUCUUUUGCCUUUUUUUUAAAACACAAAAAAGAGAAAUAAAAAAAAGAAUCGAUCCAAGAACGAAAAAAGGUUGCCUUUUUAUUUUUAUUUUUCUUCUUUUCGCCUUAAUUUUGCUAUCAUUUUAAAAGAAAUAAACAAAAAGUAAAAAAGUGCCAAAAGCUCUCCUUUUCUUGCAUUUUUCGAUGCCAUGGGUGGUCGAGGACUGUAAUCUCCGACGAAAGAUGGCACUUUUCAGGAAAAAGGAGUCGAAAGGCCAAAAACGGUCAUUUUACACUUCCCAGCCACCGUGGACGGCGGCGCUGCAGAGAAAGAACGGAGAAAAUAAAGGCUUUUUUGGUUUUUUUUAAAAGAGAGGGGGUCUGAAUGUUUUUUAAUUUUUUUAUUUAUAAUUUCCCCGAAAUGACGUCAUUUGGGGCAGGCUUUUGAAGCGCCAAACGGCGCCAUUUUGCAAAAACCCGAAGACCUGACCUGCACUGAUGGGAUCCGCGUGUUUUUUUAGCGAAAGGGAAAAUUACACUUUCAGCCCUUCCGCUUUUUAAUUAGUUUAC
rnacentral:lncRNA from 1 species